rnacentral:tRNA from 1 species
GCCGUUCUAGCUCAGUUGGUAGAGCAAUCGGUUGAAGCCCGAUGCGCGGGGGUUCGAUUCCCUCGGGCGGCA